rnacentral:sRNA from 1 species
CAGAUCCAACCAACCAUUGAGGACCAUUUCUUCUCUCUCAUUCUCUCUUCUGACGUGUUUCCCUUCUUCGGUUUCUCAUCCUCACGUCCGCCGGAUUUCGAGGAAACGAAGAAGAAGAAGAACAACAACAACAAAAGGU